UCUGCUUAUUUUUACACUUCUCAGCCAUUGAUAUGUUUAUUAAUAAUAUAUAUAUACUUUAAAAGACUCCUAAAGGAAAUAUGAUGGCUUUUAGUAUUAAAAGUGGAAGAAAAUUACAGAUUGAACAGUGCUGCAGCUGGAUGCUUUGUUCGGAAUUAAUCCUGUGGAGCCCGGCAUUCAGUAUUUCACAGUGAGAGGGGAGAAAGAGAAGAAAAACAGUUUGUCAAUACUGCAACGAGUGUGCUGGAAAAUGACAGGAUUGACUGGCCAUGAAGCAAAGACCGAACACAAGAUUAAUAUAGAUAGGAGAACAUCAGCCAGGUUGGCAAAAGUGGGAGCAAAUAGGGUAUCAUUUGGAUCUGUUUUGGACACUAUCAAAUAAGAAUGUUCUGUUCGAUGCCAUUUAUCCUUGAUGAUAGAAAAUUGCUCUGUUGCCAGGACACUGCUGCUGAAAUAGAGGGCAAGAGCAACAUUUCCAUUUUCCACUUUGAAAGAAUUAGGAAAAUGAAAAAUCCAUCACUAAACAAAGGGGAAGAAACAGAUUUUCUUAUAAUGCACCGUUUUCAUUUUUAUUCUUCGUUUUUUGGUUUUCUUUCCUAAUGCCAUGGCUUGUAAUCAAUGCUUUCUGUGGGAGACAUCAAAGACCUCUGGCUCUUCUGAAAUUACGUCAAUAGGCUACCCCUAAAAUAUAAACCAGAAAAUGACAUACGACACUAAGACUAUUUUAGUAUGGUCUAUUGUAUUUUGCAAGAUUAAUGAAACAUACAUAUAUUCUGUGUACAGAUCCCAAACAUUUAGUGAAAAACACAAAUAAUCAAUAGGCCACAUUCUUUCUGUAAGACUUAGUUUACCAGUAGGUAACAUUAACAGUAUGCCACCAGCUGUUUUCCUGAAAAAUGGUUAGUUCUAAUACAGUCACAAGGACCUCCUUUAUUUAUAUAUUGCACCUGUGGGUUCGCUCUAUUUCAAAAUCCUACAAUUUGAGAAAACUGCCAAACCAUAUAGGCUUGGAAAUCAGUUGUCAAUGGAUGACCUUACUUAAUGAAAUUGCCUAUGGUUGUUUCAAAUACAUUUGCCCCCUUUGAACUACAGAUUAAUUGUGGUUAAAGGUCUAAUAUUACCAUGACCAUUUAAAAGCUUAUACCAUAUUGUUCUUGUUGUUUGGGAUGGUAUUCUUGUUUUGUGUAGGCUACAUAUUGUUUUAUAUAUUGUACACCAGAAAUUGGGAUACUGGAAAGAAAUGUAGUGUUACACCCCAGUUUACUCCUGUAGCUAAAAGCUUUUUACAAUUAUGUAAAUACAGAAAUAUCUGACAUACACACUAUACACACUAUUAUAAAGUUCAGAAGCUAACAAAAUUGAAAUUAUUGUUAUUAUUAUGAAUACGAAUUACAGUUUUUUCUCUUACCAGUAAAAUAGUAGCUGUUUUCUUCAUAACAAAAAUCUGAUCUUGUUGUCUUUCACAGUCUCUGGUGUCUUCAAAGUUGCUGAAUACAUUAAGACAAUGGCUAUAUUUAUAUUUUUGUAAACCAUUUGUAAACUAUGUAGUUGCUUUCUGUUUGAGCAACUUGUAAAUAGCAUUAUAAUACUUGUACCUAUCCUUUAAUGUGUCUGUAAUGUUUAGGAUUUGUUAAAUAAUACUAUGUAAUUGGGUUAAGAGUAAUAUAGGCUACAUGUGCAAUAUGCCAUACAGUACAAGUUGUGUUGUGCCUAUAGGCCUAUUCUGUUCAUUUUUGCAAAACAAUGAAGAAUGCAUUUAGGCACUACUUUGUAUGAUGCAUGAUAAGCAUGUAGCGCCUGUAGAGAUAUUAGGUGGUUGACAUUUAAAAUAUGAUUGAGAAAACAAUUAUAUUAAAUAAUAUAAGUAGCCUUUAAAUAAAAUGCAUUAUGUCAGUGUUCCCAUAAUUGUGCAACUAUGGCGGUGCAGUAAUAUGAACGGAAAUUUAACAACAUUAAAGGGUUAACACAUCAUAAAUAUUGCCAUAACAACAGGUCUAAUGUAUAACCUUUCUGUUCCAAUCAUAUUUCUAUUGUGUAUAGGAAAGGGAUGUAAUUACCCACAGCCCCAUGAGCUUUGAUGUGUUCAACUUAACAAAUGCAGAAUAUUGUUACUCUGUCUUUGAUCUCCAAAAGUGAUCACAGUAGAAAUCGGAUCACCAUGAAGAUAGAGAUUGCUGUGGAAAUAAUCCUUUGCAUGGAUCUUUCCUUUGGUAGCAGCGGUUCCAUGACCAGGUGAUUAACUGGAGCCUAAUCCUUGGGGUAGAUUGCAUGCAGAGUAGAGUCAUUCUUUUACUAUUAAAAAUAUCAAUUUUGACCAAAUCCUCCCUACAUACUACUGUUUAUCAUCCUUGUUAAAAUGAAUGCAAUAAGAUGUUUCAGGAAUACACAAAACAGCAAAACUAAAACAAACUGGGGAUUCCUGAAUUCCUUAAACAUAUCUGAGGUUGCAGAAAAUUGUAAUAAAGAAGAGUGGCUUUCACAAAGAAACACACACCAAUGCAAAAUGAUUUAAAUUAAAUAUCAUUAUCGACUGACUCAAUAGUUUCUACUAUUACCACAUUACCUACUAGUUAAUUAAUAAAAAAAUCUUCUUCCAAGAGACAUGUAACUUAUCCAUUUUUUUUAAUGUAGUAAUUUCUGUGUUCCACAAAUUGCAGUAUGUAUUUGUAGAGUAAAGGCUAUUUCAUUUCAGAUAUUGAAAUUAAAUAUUUAACUGGGUUUAGAAGGUGUAAACUAGAAACCAAACUACAAAAAUCCCAACGUAUUAAACAUAUAUAAAGUGUCUUAGAGUGUGUCACUGUUGAAGCAGUAAUAGACACAAAGGUCAUGUAAUACACUUCAAUUCAAUCUAUUGAUUCAGUGCCUUAAUAAUUUUUUCUCCUACAGACGCAAUGAAAGAUGGUCAGAAAAGCCACAGUCAAAACCCGCAGAGCAAUCCUGGUGCUAUUAGACUUGUACUAAUAAUAGGUGUUUCAUCGCUGGAAGAUCAAUCAUGUUGAAUUUUGCAAAGGAUGGCUUUAGAUCCACAUGUGUCCUAAUGGAUCAAAUUAUUCUGUUUUUAGCUGCUACUUUGAAAUUGGUUGCCCUUUUUCAUAUAUGUGUCAAUGGGCAUUAAACUGUUUUUUGUUUCAAUCUCUUUUCAGCUGAAUAUGUAAAGAUUUGAAAAUGAAUGUAUUCUACUGUAUUAUGUAUGCAUUUUAUUGCCAUCCAAUAAAUAUUAUUUCCUUU